UACGUAGGGGGCAAGCGUUGUCCGGAUUUAUUGGGCGUAAAGAGCGUGUAGGCGGCCAGACAGGUCAGCUGUGAAAACUCGAGGCUCAACCUCGAGACGUCGGUUGAAACCGUCUGGCUAGAGUCCGGAAGAGGAGAGUGGAAUUCCCGGUGUAGCGGUGAAAUGCGCAGAUAUCGGGAAGAACACCCGUGGCGAAGGCGGCUCUCUGGGACGGUACUGACGCUGAGGCAUGAAAGCGUGGGGAGCAAACAGG
rnacentral:rRNA from 1 species